rnacentral:rRNA from 1 species
GACGAACGCUGGCGGCGCGCUUAACACAUGCAAGUCGAACGGAAAGGCCUGCUUUCCCUUGUGGAUUGCGGGUACUCGAGUGGCGAACGGGUGAGUAACACGUGAGUGAUCUGCCCCCAACUUGGGUAUAAGCCUGGGAAACUGGGUCUAAUUCCCGGUAGGACUGCAGGGUGGUGCCUGUGGUGGAAAACGAUUUUCUAGUGGUUGGGGAUGAGCUCGCGGCCUAUCAGCUUGUUGGUGGGGUAAUGGCCUACCAAGGCGGCGACGGGUAGCCGGCCUGAGAGGGUGGACGGCCACAUUGGGACUGGGAUACGGCCCAGACUCCUACGGGAGGCAGCAGUGGGGAAUAUUGCACAAUGGGCGGAAGCCUGAUGCAGCGACGCCGCGUGGGGGAUGACGGCCUUCGGGUUGUAAACUCCUUUCGACCGCGAGGAAGCCACCUGGUUGGAAGGGUGGUGACGGUAGUGGUAGAAGAAGCACCGGCUAACUACGUG